rnacentral:rRNA from 1 species
CUCCUGACUGACCGAUAGUGAACCAGUACCGUGAGGGAAAGGCGAAAAGAACCCCUGUGAGGGUAGUGAAAUAGAUCCUGAAACCGCAUGCAUACAAGCAGUGGGAGCACCUUCGUGGUGUGACUGCGUACCUUUUGUAUAAUGGGUCAGCGACUUAUAUUCAGUAGCGAGGUUAACCGUAUAGGGGAGCCGUAGAGAAAUCGAGUCUUAAUAGGGCGUUUAGUUGCUGGGUAUAGACCCGAAACCAGGCGAUCUAUCCAUGAGCAGGUUGAAGGUUGGGUAACACUAACUGGAGGACCGAACCCACUGUCGUUGA